GCCGGAGUGGCGGAACUGGCAGACGCGCUGGACUCAAAAUCCAGUGGGCUGCAAAGCCCGUGUCGGUUCGACCCCGACCUUCGGCACCA
rnacentral:tRNA from 1 species